CAAGGAGGAUUUUGUUUAUCUAAACAUAGCUUUGUUUAGGAACAAGGAGAAAGAAAAAUAAUAACAAUGGCCUUUUUACUAAUUUUUUUCCUGAUUCUUGCUGGUUUUGUGCCUGUCCUAGGACAUCCUCUAAGGGACCGUUCAGAUGGAUGGAACAAAUUGCUUCCUUUCCUUAAUUUCGACAUCCACAGCCUAGUAGCCAGUUUCCUUAAUGGUGGCCUUCAAGGUUUGGUAGCAAAGACUCCAAGAUCAGCUCUAACCCAUCCCUACAUUGUUCAGCGACAAUGAUCCUAGUGGUGAAGGCAGCGAAAAUGCUACUUAAAAUUGGAGAGGUGGUGCUGCAUUGGUCCCCUUGUUGUACGAAAGGAAUCGCUGGAGCUUUGGGGACAAGAAGUGCCAAUGGCCACGACAACUGUACACAGGCAACAGUAUCGGAGGAACCGAGAUGCUGUGACCCCCAUCCAUCCAUCCAGUACAUCCAUGACAUCAUUGUGUGGGGGGACACAGCAGAAGAAGUUUUUGAGAAAGGACAGAAGAUCAUCCAGAUUCUCCUCGAGGCCUGUUUUGCCAUCAAGAAGAGUAAGGUCAAGGGCCCUGCCCAAGAGAUCCAGUUCCUAGGGCUGAAAUGGCAAAUGGACGACACCAGAUACCAACAGACGUCAUCAACAAGAUUGUAGCAAUGGCUCCACCCACAAACAAGAAAGAAACCCAAGCUUUUCUGGGAGCCAUUGGCUUCUGGAGGAUGCACAUCCCAGAGUACAGCCAGAUGGUGAGCCCUCUUUACUUUGUGACCUGUGAAAAGAACAAUUUCCAGUGGGGUCCUGAACAACAACAAGCUUUCAUGCAGAUCAAGCAAGAGAUUGCACAUGCCGUGGCUCUUGGAGCAGUCAGGACAGGACCAGAUGUAAAGAAUGUGCUCUACUCUGCAGCUGGAGAGAAAGGUCCCUCCUGGAGCCUCUGGUCAAAGGUACCUGGUGAGACGUGAGGGCGACCACUGGGUUUCUGGAGCCGAAGCUACAGAGGUUCUGAGGCCAAUUCCACCCCUGAGGAGAAGGAAAUCUUAGCAGCCUAUGAAGGCAUACGAGCAGCUUCAGAGCUUUCAGAUUCAGCAAUGUCCUCACUCCUGACAGACCAGGGUCCCCUUUCCAGAGUAAUGGAGGAGCACCAUGAUUUUUUAAUCCAAAAUUCCCGGAUUUGAAUGAAAUGCUCUGGAAAGGCUCUGGAAAUCAUUGGGUGUUCACAAUCAUCAAUGAAGAUGUUCACCAGGAAUUGCUGAUCACUGGCCUCCAGCUGGAUGUUGCACUCCUGAUCACCACCCCGGCCAGCAGAUUUCAACCAGCCUGCUGUCUGCUCAUCCAGCCCAUACUUCAUGGGCUUCUCUGUGAGGGAGCCCUGUCUGUGUCCACUAGUACACACAUUCAUUUGGAUUUAAAACAAUCAAACAGAAGUGAGAGUUUUAAGAGCAGAAUUAUUUUUCAAAGGGAAAUAGAAGGGUAAGAGUUUUUAAUUUUAAUGAUCAUGUUUUACAUGAUGCUAAUUGACCUCUAGUAGAAAUGAGAGAACACCUUA